CCUACGGGAGGCAGCAGUGGGGAAUAUUGGACAAUGGGCGAAAGCCUGAUCCAGCCAUGCCGCGUGUGUGAAGAAGGCCUUCGGGUUGUAAAGCACUUUCAGUGGGGAAGAAAGCCUUGGGGCUAAUACCCUCGAGGAAGGACAUCACCCACAGAAGAAGCACCGGCUAACUCCGUGCCAGCAGCCGCGGUAAUACGGAGGGUGCGAGCGUUAAUCGGAAUUACUGGGCGUAAAGCGCGCGUAGGCGGUCUGAUAAGCCGGUUGUGAAAGCCCCGGGCUCAACCUGGGAACGGCAUCCGGAACUGUCAGGCUAGAGUGCAGGAGAGGAAGGUAGAAUUCCCGGUGUAGCGGUGAAAUGCGUAGAGAUCGGGAGGAAUACCAGUGGCGAAGGCGGCCUUCUGGACUGAUACUGACGCUGAGGUGCGAAAGCGUGGGUAGCAAACAGGAUUAGAUACCCGAGUAGUC
rnacentral:rRNA from 1 species